AGCGAACGUUUGCGGCGGGCUUAACACAUGCAAGUCGAACGAGAAUCCCUUCGGGGAGGAAAGUGGCGCACGGGUGCGUAACACGUGGAUAACCAACCCAUUGGUUUGGGACAACACCGGGAAACUGGUGCUAAUACCAGAUGUGUCGCAGCUGUCUUCAGGCGGUUGCGAGAAAGGCCCGCAAGGGUCGCCAACGGACGGGUCCGCGUCCCAUCAGCUAGUUGGUGAGGUAAUGGCUCACCAAGGCAAAGACGGGUAGCUGGUCUGAGAGGAUGAUCAGCCACACUGGAACUGAGACACGGUCCAGACUCCUACGGGAGGCAGCAGUGGGGAAUAUUGCGCAAUGGGCGAAAGCCUGACGCAGCCACGCCGCGUGAGCGAUGAAGGUCUCCGGAUCGUAAAGCUCUGUGGGGGGAGAAGAAGAAAGCCGGUGAAGAGCCGGCCCUGACGGUAUCCCCUUAGCAAGCACCGGCUAACUCCGUGCCAGCAGCCGCGGU
rnacentral:rRNA from 1 species